UACGAAGGGGGGCUAGCGUUACUCGGAUUGACUGGGCGUAAAGGGCGCGUAGGCGGUUCGUACAGUCAGACGUGAAAUUCCUGGGCUCAACCUGGGGGCUGCGUUUGAUACGUGCGGGCUUGAGUUCGGAAGAGGGUCGUGGAAUUCCCAGUGUAGAGGUGAAAUUCGUAGAUAUUGGGAAGAACACCGGUGGCGAAGGCGGCGACCUGGUCCGAUACUGACGCUCAGGCGCGAUAGCGUGGGGGAUCAAACAGG
rnacentral:rRNA from 1 species